AUUGAACGCUGGCGGCAGGCCUAACACAUGCAAGUCGAACGAGUGGCGGACGGGUGUGUAAUGUCUGGGAAACUGCCUGAUGGAGGGGGAUAACUACUGGAAACGGUCGCUAAUACCGCAAACCAUCACUUGUGCCCAGAUGGGCUUGGCUUGUUGGUGGGGUAACGGCUCACCAAGGCCACGAUCCCUAGCUGGUCUGUGAGGAUGACCAGCAAAACUGGAACGGAGACACGGUCCAGACUCCUACGGGAGGCAGCAGUGGGGAAUAUGGCACAAUGGGCGCAAGCCUGAUGAAGCCAUGCCGCGUGUAUGAAGAAGGCCUUCGGGUUGUAAAGUACUUUCAGCGAGGAGGCGUUACCCACAGAAGAAGCACCGGCUAACUCCGUGCCAGCCGCCGCGGUAAUUC
rnacentral:rRNA from 1 species